GUGCCAGCCGCUGCGGUAAUACGGAGGGUGCAAGCGUUAAUCGGAAUUACUGGGCGUAAAGCGCACGCAGGCGGUCUGUCAAGUCGGAUGUGAAAUCCCCGGGCUCAACCUGGGAACUGCAUUCGAAACUGGCAGGCUAGAGUCUUGUAGAGGGGGUAGAAUUCCAGGUGUAGCGGUGAAAUGCGUAGAGAUCUGGAGGAAGUACCGGUGGCGGAAGGCGGCCCCCGUGGACAAAGACUGACGCUCGAGGUGCGAAAGCGU
rnacentral:rRNA from 1 species